rnacentral:lncRNA from 1 species
GGGGACAGAAACAGAAGAAGGAGCUGAUCACCGCAGACCCUCGCCCAAAUCCCAGCUCUGCCCUGGGGAUGCUCCCCUUCAAGGAAAGGAGAAGGAGGGUUGGAGCUGAGAUGGGGAGACUGAGGCCCUGGGGUGGCGGGUGAUCUGUGCACGGACACUCUGCAGAGGUGAAUGUCUUUUGAACCCAAGACCCCUGCCUCCAGCCAACAGUGGCCUCUCUUGACGAAAGUCUAUGGCAGAGAGAGACUGGGCGAUGAUGUGGAGGUCACAGUGGGAGAGCCUGCCUGGAGUUCUUGGCUAUGAUCUUGGACCCUACGUGGAGAUGAAGGCACCGAUUCCUUGCUCUCCUGGGAGGCAGAGGAGCCUCUCCUUCAGCCCACCCCUUCCUACCAAGAUAGGCUUCCCGGUGAGCCAGGGAAAUGGGGGAGAACAGCCACCCUCGGGCUGUGUGACUUCUGCAGUUGCCAGAUAAAACAGAGGAUGAGUAAUAGUAUUUUACCAUAAGUAUAUCCCAUGCAUAAUGUUGUUUAUCUGAAAUUCAGAUUGAACGGGGCAUCCUGUAUUUUUAUUUGUUAAAGCUGGCAACCCCUAGACCCAUGAGCAAGACACUUUGUCUCUCGAAGCCUUAGUUUCUUCAUCUUUAAAAAUGAGCCAAAAUACUAUCCUGUAAGGAUACUGUGUAAAUUAAGUGAGAUGAUACAUAUAAAAUGCCUGGCACAAGGGAGCUAAGUUUGUGAAGCUGGCAAAUAUUGCCUUCAGAGUCCCCAGACCCAAUCCUUUUAUCCUUCCACUCCCCUCUCCCUUUCGGAGUUCCCGUUUUAGACCCCGAUGUGCAGGAUGCUAAUGAACAUCUUCAAAAACAUACCUGGUGUGGAGGAAAUAACUCUGCCACUUGCUGGCUGUGUGACCUUGUGGGGGUGGCUUACCCUCUCUGAGCCUCAUCUGUAAGAGGGGUUUGUCAUAGUACUACAUCCCUGGGGCUGUGAUGAUGAAACAGACAGUGUAUUAAGCGCUAAAUACUAAGCUCUCACUAAGGAGAGCCCAUUAAUAUCUUGCAAAUGCGCUAAGACGCAUCUUUAAUUUUAAAAUACCCCCAGAGAAGGCAAUGCUUACCCCACUGGGAAAAAAUAAAAUGAGUAAAGGUGGAAUGGCAGGCCAAGCGAUGGGCGAAUGAAGGAGGUCAUUUCUGCAUGGGAAGUUGGGGGGUGGAGGAUUUAGAGGUGGGGAUAGGGUGGGGGCUUUCCCCUGGCCACUCUCCUUGCAUCUAUGCAAGCUCUUUGGAAGCUCACACAGCUCAGGCCUUCUGGGUGCCAUAUUCCCUGGCAGUGGAGUCCAGGCAGCCCUCAGGAUCUGGGGCCCGACCCUCACCAGGCAGAGGCACGUCCUCCUUGCUGGCUCACUGUUUGUUUUCCAAACUCACUCCUAAUCCUCUUAAUCUCUUUACAUCUCACCUGCCUGCGUGCCUGGUGGCUUCCAUUAGCACCUUUCCAGCUCGAUCUGCACGUUGGAAACUUCUCCCAGAGUGGCUCCUCCUGGCCCCUUGCAGACUUGGCUGCUUCCCCCUCGGCAGCCAGGAUGCUUGUCUCCAGCUGAGGCCAGCUGUUCCGGGGAACUUGUUUUCUUCCUAUUUUUCUUACUCUCCCCACCUCAAAAAAAUCAUGUUUGCUAUGUUCGGUCUUCCUUUUACAUGUUUUCCCCAAACCUCUCAACAAGCCCCCUGUGGGGCAGGUGGGAUUUUUGCUAGGUGCCUGCCACGUGCCAGGUUCAAGCCACACUGAUCAGAAGCCAUACCCUAGUCCAAGGGGUCAUUGCCAUUCCCCAGAUGCAGGAGUUCUCUCGUGCAAGGGCAUCCAUACAGCAAAAGGGAGGUAGGUGCUGAAGUUGAACCCACACUGCCUCUCUCCCCAACAAAUUAUUUGUUGUUUUACAAUCCCCUCCGUUUCUCAUAAAACUAUCCCCCAAAGCUCUUUGAUCUGCCAAGAGAAGCAAAGAAUAAAGGACAUGCAACUGA